UACGGAAGGGGCAAGCGUUGUUCGGAAUCAUUGGGCGUAAAGGGCGCGUAGGUGGUCUUGUAUGUCUACCGUGAAAGCGUACGGCUCAACCGUAUUUUGUCGGUAGAAACUGCAGGACUUGAGGCUGGGAGGGGCUGGCGGAAUUCCCUGUGUAGCGGUGAAAUGCGCAGAUAUCAGGAGGAACACCGAUGGCGAAGGCAGGUCUCUGGGCCAUAACUGACGCUGAGAAGCGAAAGCAUGGGGAGCGAACAGG
rnacentral:rRNA from 1 species